UCUCAUGACGGUUUCCAUUUU
rnacentral:piRNA from 1 species